rnacentral:RNase_P_RNA from 1 species
GAAGUUGGCCAGACAGUCGCUGCCCGUUUUUUUGUAAAACGAAAAAACGGGGAGAGGAAAGUCCGGGCUCCGUAGAGCGGGAUGUCGGUUAAUGGCCGACCAUCGUGAGGUGAGGAAUAGGGCCACAGAGACGAGCGUAUUAAGUUACGAUGAAACGCGGCAACCUCCAUCCGGAGCAAAACCAAAUAGGCAGGCUAUGACGUUGCUCGCUGAGCCUGCGGGUAGGUUGCUAGAGCAUACGGGUAACUGUAUGCGUAGAGGAAUGACUGUCCACGACAGAACCCGGC